rnacentral:rRNA from 1 species
GACGAACGCUGGCGGCGUGCUUAACACAUGCAAGUCGAACGGAAAGGCCCUGCUUGCAGGGUACUCGAGUGGCGAACGGGUGAGUAACACGUGGGUGAUCUGCCCUGCACUUCGGGAUAAGCCUGGGAAACUGGGUCUAAUACCGGAUAGGAGCCAUUUUUUGUGUGAUGGUUGGGAAGUUUUUUCGGUGUAGGAUGAGCUCGCGGCCUAUCAGCUUGUUGGUGGGGUAAUGGCCUACCAAGGCGGCGACGGGUAGCCGGCCUGAGAGGGUGGACGGCCACAUUGGGACUGAGAUACGGCCCAGACUCCUACGGGAGGCAGCAGUGGGGAAUAUUGCACAAUGGGCGCAAGCCUGAUGCAGCGACGCCGCGUGGGGGAUGACGGCCUUCGGGUUGUAAACUCCUUUCGCUAGGGACGAAGCUUUUGUGACGGUACCUAGAUAAGAAGCACCGGCUAACUACGUGCCAGCCGCCGCGGUAAUAC